AUAUUACAAAACACUAAUAUAUAUCUCCUUCAUUAUAUGUCCUUGGAUCUAAGAUAUUCCCUGUGUUGGUGUGGUUAGCUUUCAAUUUUUUUUUUUUUUUUUUAAAUGGAUGAGAGAAUUCUUUGGCGCAACUCUUUCAACAUGUCUUUCCCUUCCUUCAAUAACUUGUUCAAAAUAACUUUAGAUUUGAUGAACAUUGAUAUCAACUGUGCUGUGUUUACUUUUCAGUAUUUGCUCAUUCGUGUUUUUGUCUUUUUCAUGCUAACCAAAUCGCUUAAUCCUCAUACAAAACGCCAUCGUUUCUUGGUCGUUUUAAGCUAAAGUUUAACUUGAGUCCUAGGGGUUUAUAGCCACAUUUGAAGUCAAACCUGAACGGCUCUAAGCUCUAACUUGGGUCGUUUUGGCUCGCAGCAGCAUCCUCUUUGUCAUGCUGCUUACACUUUCUUUGUCUUGUAGGGAGGGAAGUAGAAUCCGUUGUGUCAUCUGCAUUUUUCUUAGAAAGGAAUUGUCCAUUUUCCAUAUGUUUUUUUUUCUUCACACUAGUGGCAGAGUAAGAAAAAGGAAAGCAAUAGCAAUUUUAAUCAAGAAUCAUCUUCAAAGAAGAAACACAAACAAGAAUACUUUUUUGAGUUAUUGUUCAGAUAAAAGAGUGGCAGAAUAAGCAAAAGGAAAGCAAUAACAAUUAUAAUCAAGAAUCGCCUCCAAAGAAGAACUUUGUUAAUAAAAGAAGCAAAUAAGAAUUCUUUUGUGAGUUCUUGUUUGGAUUUAUAGAGUUAUAAUAUCUCAUACUACUGGGAAUUGAAUUAAACUACACUACCGGGUCUGAAAACCUAAUCCUAACUAAAAUAAAACUAAAUAAGUCCUGAUUAGAAUGGGACAGAGAAAAAAAUUAUUAUUAUGUAGGAAUACGAUGAAAAAGAACUCCUUUCUUGGCCACAAAUAACAAAUCCAACUACUGGUUGAAGUGCUAUUUUGCAACCCCGAUUUCAAACUUACCGUAAGAAAAAAAAUACAACUUUUGAGAUUGUUAUGCAAUGAAAUUCAUUAGCCUCAGCCCCAAAUCUAGGCGAACUCAAAUACUCAGAAAUUCAAAGACAAAACAUAGCUUAGUUGACAUGAAAAGCAAAAUAUCUUCUUUCUCUGAAUUUAACAGAUCGGAAAGGUUAAUGACAGAAGCCUUCACUGCACAUCUGACUCUCCGAUAACAAUUUGGAGAGGCAGUUGUGCGAAAUCUAUAAAAUUUUCUUUUUUUUUUUGGUCUGAAUGGGCUGGGCUCCCAUUCCUUUAUUUAUGUAAAAAAAAGUGGUAUUUUCAAUAAAUGGGCCCAAGUAACAAGCUCAGUCCAGAUGCUUUUGCGUCACAACUGGGCCUCCAGAACUGGAUUGAAAACUGAAUAUAAUUUUUUAGAAAAGAUAAAUGUUUAUCCCGAGAAAAUCUGAGCCGUCGAAAAAACAAUGGGGAAAAUGCAGAGAUGCGUUUUGAAAUGCCAGUGCAACCAUUAGUUGUCACGAGAAGCAUCCAUAUCAAUGCACUUGUCUAUGGGUAUUCUCUUUAGUUUCAGUAUCUGAUAUAUAUCUCGUCUCGACUCUCGGAUCGAAUACGUGUUUGGAGGAAAACGAAAAGAAAAGGAGAUGGCAGAUUGGGGUCCAGUGAUAGUAGCAGUGGUGCUGUUCGUGCUGUUAACGCCAGGGCUGUUGUUUCAGAUACCAGGAAAGGGUAGAGUGGUGGAGUUUGGAAAUAUGCAAACAAGCGGCGCCUCUAUCAUUGUUCACGCCAUUAUCUACUUUGGCCUCCUCACUAUCUUCCUUAUUGCCAUUGGCGUUCACAUCUACACCGGCUAGUCUUUAUUUUUUCUCAGUCUGAUAAUAUCAUUUCAUUUUCA